UGAGUUUAGACGUGUCGAAUAGAUGGCGUGAAAGAAAAGAAUAUUAUGUUGUCAGAUAUGGGCUUACGGGCUUACGGCAGCUCGUUGUCCAAAGUUCAGUGGUUCAGCAGCUACAACAGUUCUUUUCUUCGAAAAUUAUAAAUGAAUUCGUCUGUAAAUUGGAUAGAUUUUGUGUUCAAUUUGUUUGACAUGUGUUCUUUUCUGUUAUUUAUGUGUUUAAUAACUUCAGUAUUUCUCAUUAAUUUUUCCAUGAGAAGAUGUGAAAGGAGUAAGAUGCAGCCUUUUACUGUCAACUAUUGUGUUAAAAAUCCUGGUAUCAUCAUACUCAAUAUGUCAUCCAAAUGACAGAGGUGGAUUCAUCAGAAAUAUUGGCUGAUUCUAUUGGACUUGCUAGAUCGUUUUAUCCCUAGAAUGGACCAAUCUUUCAUUCAAUCUUCUAGAGAACCUUGGAUAACUGAUUGGUGGUUUUGUGUGUUUUAAACUAUAGGUAUCUAAAUUUGCACGACGUCCUUCAACGUUCUUGGACUGACGUCAGUCAGUCAGCAAGGUAGGUUACCUUGUUUGGUAACCUGUUGGCUGCUUUCCUUGAAUCUCCAUUUUUACUUCUUUAAGCUUGAUUUGAGGGUAACUCCUUCACUACUUAUCAUGGACUUCAUCCAUUGGUGAUGCUGUAAUUCAGCAAGACUGAAAAAUUGUUUAGUCAGAUAAAACAAGUGCAUAUCUGGGUUCCCUUCUUUUCUGUGGCCCCGUUUCCCUAACUAACCACUAACCAACGCCCGCCGGUGG